rnacentral:rRNA from 2 species
UUUAUAUGAGAGUUUGAUCCUGGCUCAGGAUGAACGCCGGCGGUGUGCCUAAUACAUGCAAGUCGUACGCACUGGCCCAACUGAUUGAUGGUGCUUGCACCUGAUUGACGAUGGAUCACCAGUGAGUGGCGGACGGGUGAGUAACACGUAGGUAACCUGCCCCGGAGCGGGGGAUAACAUUUGGAAACAGAUGCUAAUACCGCAUAACAACAAAAGCCACAUGGCUUUUGUUUGAAAGAUGGCUUUGGCUAUCACUCUGGGAUGGACCUGCGGUGCAUUAGCUAGUUGGUAAGGUAACGGCUUACCAAGGCGAUGAUGCAUAGCCGAGUUGAGAGACUGAUCGGCCACAAUGGAACUGAGACACGGUCCAUACUCCUACGGGAGGCAGCAGUAGGGAAUCUU